CACGUAGGGGGCGAGCGUUGUCCGGAUUCAUUGGGCGUAAAGAGCUCGUAGGCGGCUCAGUAAGUCGGGUGUGAAACCCUCAGGCUCAACCUGGGGACGCCACUCGAUACUGCUGUGGCUAGAGUCCAGUAGAGGAGUGUGGAAUUCCCGGUGUAGCGGUGAAAUGCGCAGAUAUCGGGAGGAACACCAACGGCGAAGGCAGCACUCUGGGCUGGAACUGACGCUG
rnacentral:rRNA from 1 species